AGAGUUUGAUCAUGGCUCAGGAUGAGCGCUGGCGGCGUGCCUAACACAUGCAAGUCGAGCGAUUCUCUUCGGAGAAGAGCGGCGGACGGGUGAGUAACGCGUGGGUAACCUGCCCUGUACACACGGAUAACAUACCGAAAGGUAUGCUAAUACGAGAUAAUAUGCUUUUAUCGCAUGGUAGAAGUAUCAAAGCUUUUGCGGUACAGGAUGGACCCGCGUCUGAUUAGCUAGUUGGUAAGGUAACGGCUUACCAAGGCGACGAUCAGUAGCCGACCUGAGAGGGUGAUCGGCCACAUUGGAACUGAGACACGGUCCAAACUCCUACGGAGGCA
rnacentral:rRNA from 1 species